rnacentral:lncRNA from 10 species
GAAACAGACUGCAGGACAUCCUUGGCUGAGGGAGCCCUGCCCAACUCAGAUCACUGUGGUCACCGGCAUGGCAGAGAGGCUCUGGGUGUCGGGAUGUUCACAGGAGGCCCAAGGACUGUUUGAGAUUCCAUUGAUCCUGAAGGCAGUGGACAGCUGCUUUUCAACAGGAGAGUGAAGUGCUCAGACUGGGGGACGGUUCAAGGAAUUUUAAAAAUGUGAACGCUGAGACACUUUGAAGACAGUCAUGACUAUGGCCUUUGUGAGGGGUGACCUCUUGUGCUAUCCCUGUUGGAAGUUUGCUUCCUAGAACAUCUGGGAAUAGGAUUAUUGCUGACGCAAGACGAUAAAGAAUGAAGGAGAGGUCAGGAGUUCAAGACAAGCCUGGCCAACAUGGCGAAACCCUAUCUCCACUAAAAAUACAAACAUUAGCCGGGCGUGGUGGUGCAUGCCUUUAGUCCCAGCUACUUGGGAAGCUGAGGCAGGAGAAUCGCUUGAACCUGGGAGGUGGAGGUUGCACAGCCUUGGUGACAGAAGGAGACUCAGUCUCAAAACAAAAGGAAUGAAGCUUAAAGUAUUUUCAGAAAUCUGAGGGGAACAUCACCUGUGCUUUAUUGGUUAUUUUGACAAGUGAAAUAGAGGACAAACUGCUUUGAUUUGAGUUGAUGUCUACACAUGUGAACUCAUGAGAAACAGCAAAGCCCACAAUCCACAUGGACAUCAUCAUCGUUCGGGAACAGGCAUGGUCUCCAUUCUUUCCAUGCACACGCCCCGGCUUCAAAAA